rnacentral:lncRNA from 1 species
UUCAAUGCAGAGAGAGAGGAAGAAGAAGUGCAAACUCAAACUAAUUCAGUGAAGAGUCACUGAGCAGCACCUUGAUGUUAAAAUAUCAGCCUGCAGGAACACCGGAAAUGGGCCAAAUAGAAUCGGGAAAAGAAAGAUGUCAUGGCAAGAUCAGGUCUCUUGCUUGUAAUAGAUGUGCUUACUGCUUAGUUUGAGGGAUUCUAAUACUAGUCACCCUCCCUUUAUUUUAUUUUAAUUGCUCCAUGUUCUUUACUUUCUGAAUUUUUUUCUCGAAAAUAUAGUUGCAUUUGUUGGGUUUAAAAAGAUAAAUAUAAAAAUGACUACUUGAGUUCUCAUUGUAAAUGUAAUUUAGUUGCAGAUGGAUGCUGCUCUACUCUACUUUGGUCCGUCGGAGUAAUUGAGAAGCAAGUUUCUUCCCUUACAAUUAUUUGUGAUGUAAAUGAUGAUUAUUGAAAGGUUUCAAAUUUUGUUCCUUAAGUUACGUUUGCUAAGUAAUGGAAGAUGAUCUUUGCACAAAAAAUGAGGGUAUUUG